AUUACCGGUAAACAGGAAGUAAAUCGACGCACUGAAUCGAGCUUAUCUUUGCAGUAUUCAAUUUCAUUUAAAUAUUUUAAUGCAUUCAUUGGAUGUGCAUUGAAAAGGCUGUCUCGUAUAUUACAAAUUAAACUAGGAUUUAAAGUGGUUAACAAAGACAACGAAGAAAAAAAAAUCUACAGUCGAAUCAACCUCAGUGAGAGACAAUAAAGGUGGAACACUGUUCGCCAAGGUGAAUGCAAACAUUACCACCAACUACCGAUAUUCACAUUGAAUUAUAAAUAAGUAUGAAAGAUUUAGUAGGCGCUGUUGGAAAUCUCAAUUUCGGUUCUUUGGUAUCUGAAGACGAUUUUAAACAGUGUUUUGCUCAUGACUUUAUGUAUGGAGACACAACCCGGAACUGGCCAUCAAAGACACUAUUAAUUUACAGACUUGGAGAAGACGGUCCCUUCGAAUGUGAAGAAAACGAACGCGGUGCCGAUCACGCCGAGAUCGUAUUACUUAAAAAAAUACGCAAUAAGAUAGAAAAUAGGCAGACACGUACCCUAGUCACGAUCUACAUCAGCUACUCACCAUGUUCCAAAUGUUCAGAGAUACUCGGGGGUUUUAUUGGAAAGAACAAGAAAAGGUGUAAAUUAAAGAUUUAUUUCAGCAACUUCUACCUAAUUCUACGUAUUAGCAACGUCCAACUAAUCGGAAAACGACAUAUGGAAGGUUUACAGAACCUUCGGCAGAAAGGUGCUGAGAUACAGCCAGUAAUCGGAGAAGAAAUGUGGAAGAUGUUUCUGAAGGCUAACCGUGUUCCGGAAAAUGACCAAGGCCGAUGGUUGGUUGUGGCCGCUUCGCAGAACAGGCAAGUCAGAGAAAAAGAGGACAAAAAGAUAUUUGACUUACUUUUCCCCGAAACAGAUAAUGAAACAGAUGAUGAUAUUAGUGUACGUUAUAUUUGUUUUGUGAUAUUUACGCUCAUUAUGUAUUUACUGUAUGCACAUAUAAACUAAUAUGUUUAAAUCAUAUGAAACAAGAGAUGUGUUUGUAAGGAACACAAUGCCCCCUACUGCGCCGCUUUGAUUUUUUUUACAUUUGACCUUGAAAGAUGACCUUGACCUUUAACCACUCAUAAUGUGCAACUCCAUGAUAUACACAUGCAUUCCAAAUAUCAAGUUGCUAUCUUCAAUAUUGCAAAAGUUAUGGGCAAUGUUUAAUUUUUCGGACGGACGGACGGACGGAAAGACUGACAGACAGUUCAAAUGCUUUUUGCCAACCUACCGGAGGUAUGGAAAAGACGGAUACACAUUAAAUAUAUUAUACUUCAAAUAUAUUAUAAUCGCAUUCAUUAACAUUGUUCAAAUGUGAGAAAUAUAAUGUUUUUAAAUGUGUAAUUUCAAUUAUUGGAUUAUUUAAUUAAAGUAUACUUUAUUCAAGUUCUUCUUAUCUUGCAAUAUAUUCAUAAAGAUGGUAUGAUGUAGAUGUAGAUGUAGAUUCUAUUUUCCAAAAAAUAGCACUUUGUUUUGGAAUACUUUAGAUUGCUUAAACCGUUUUACAAUAAAUCUUUAUAACAAA